GCCAGGUGGACAGGACACUCCCCUCGAGGACCAGUAGUUGUGGCGCCACUUGGAGUACGCCCACGCCAGCAACGCCAACGUCGCCAGCAACACCCACGUCUCCACGCCCAUCGCGCAGCCACCAAGUCCGCGUUUAGCCUGUCGUCACUGCUCGGCCCCUUUUACCACCACUAACAGCGAGAGAGAGAGAGAGGGAGGUCGAGGUGUGAUUGGUCUCGUGGCGCAUCGCUGAAGGUGACGGUGAAGGUGUGAUGUGUGCUGUCUCCACUCCACCAUCCCAUGAACAACCCACAAUCUCUACACAUUACAAUCAGGCCUGACAUACUUCAUUGCAAUCAGGGAGUUGAGUUUAAUCAGGAAGAAUACGAGUGUCACUACCUUCAAGCCUGACAAGAGAUGUUAAGUAGUCAGGAUGGAUAGUACAGCAAGAAAAGGGUACAAGAGUUUUUUAUUGCAAUCAAGGAAGAGUCAAGUUGCAGUAAGAGUGGUGUAAGUCAAGAAUUUUAAGCAGGGAGAAUACUGUCAAGGAGUUAACAGCAGGAAGAGUCCCUUCAAGUUGUGGUGGGAAUGACAAGCAUCUUUCAGGACUUGCAAAGGCAGAAGUCUUCAACACUGGUCUCAGACACACAACAUCCUAGACUACACUGGAGACAGCUGACAGACCUAACUUGCAAGAUUUGCACUGAAGCAGGCAACACAUCAGGCUGCAGCACCAGGCAGACGACACCCAGCACUGCUUGCAGAUUGCCUUCACAUCAAACCCUGCAAUGAGGCACCAGCCCUGAUUGCAGACAGGAUGUGUGUGCUGGCAGAGAAGACAAACUCUAGAAAAAAAUAAAUAAAUAAAAUAAAAUGCAAACCUUA